rnacentral:lncRNA from 1 species
CUGAUGCAUCACCACACUACUUUCCAGCAGGCAACACCUCUCCAUGGCACACAAACUGUGUAUGUAGGCAUGUGAGGUAGAGAUAAACUCGUUAAUGAUGGUGGAGGACAGGCUGGCCAGACUGCACCCCGAGGCGCUGCCUAUCCCAGCCAGAGCUGAGCAAAGAGAGAUGGAGCCAGGGUACCCCGGGAGUAGCCUCUCUACCCAGCCUCUAGGAACCACCUUCUAACAGUGCACAAAUUGCCUGCCCCAGGACCUCCUGACAUUUCUUACCAGCAUAGAUGUUGUGCACCUUUCUCUGGGCAAACAAGAUACGCUUCAAUGUUAACAUUUUCAGUAGUCUCAAAAUAGUUGCCACUGACUGUGCUGGCAGCAGCACACAGAUUAAAGGGAAGCAGCUGCGGGAGGACUGGAGUGCAUGCUGAGGGAAACCAGGGGCGCACCUGGAGGAGCAAGGGCUCAUGGUGACAUCCUUGUGGGGUGCUCCACGUGAGAGUCAGAGCCCUCCUGGGCAGCAGAAAUGAGGGAUAGUGCAAGAUCUCCUCCCUUUCUUCUCCACUCCUAUCAGCAACCGGAAAACGUCCUUAAAACUGGAUGGAAAGACAAGACACGUGAGAUAGUAUGUUAUUUUCAAUGGAGUUUCUGGAGCAGCUGAAGUUUUGAGCUCAUCUACUGCUCUCUCUCUGAUUCAGAAUCGCAUUUCUCCAAAAUUUCAACCGUGAUGAACUUUCCCAAAACAGAAGCAGCAAGCUGCUUCCCACCAUCACAUACUUGGCCUGUAUCCUGUCUAUCCAUAUGCAGCAGAUGUAAAUAUAAUUUACUGGCACAAGCAGCUUUCUGCACAUGGCAACAUUCUGAGUCUUCUUUAGCAACCAUGUGAAGAAAUAAACCAUUUUACUGAUACACUAGAAUGCCCCAAUAAAGCUCCAUAAUGACCUGUGA